AAGAUUCAUUCAUCUCUCUCUUCUCUAUUUCUCCGCCUCUGUACCAAGUUCCGCCACCCCCGUUGCAAAGUCCCACCGGUUUUGUAGAGCACGUGAAGAGAUUCUCCACCGAUGUCACAUAGUGCCAACAAGAUUCCAAAUAGACUCAUAAUAGAUGACUCAUAACGGUGAGUCCAUUCCAUCUCUUCCGUCGCUGUGGGUCUACACCACCAGCUUUGAAGCUCUGAAUCCAUAACCCAUGGCUAAUCGAGAAAGGUGAAGGAUGGGACACAAACCCUAACGCAAAAACACGAAACCGCACUGAUCCCAUCACCAACUUCGAAAGCGCAGCCGUUGCAAACCACCUCUGAAUCUGCUCCCGUGAGACUUCCCUUCGCCCAUCGGAUGUCAUCACCGAAAUCUUCUGCACUCAUUUCCAUUACAGCCACCACCAUAAUCAUUUUCGGUCACUUAUCUGAUUUUCAUUUUAUUUUUAGAAAAUUUUGAAAUCGAUUUGUUUGCUUGUUAUGUAUUUGAAGAAGCAACUGGCUUUGAAAUCGAUUGUUUCGGGCAAGGUAUAAUUGUUUGACAUCUGAUUGUAGUUAGUUGUUGAUAUUUUGUUUGGACUUUUGGUUGUUUGUGAUAACAUGUUGUGGUGCUUUAACGUGUGUGUGUUUGGAAUAUCAUAAUAGAGUGGAGGGAAAAAGACCGAAGCUUGCUGGUAUUACUAACCAGCUCUGGAAAUCGGCGAAGGAAAAAAGACAUGUUCUUGAUGGUAUCACUAGCAAUAAGAGAUUGAUAUGCAUGUUCUAUUCAUUUUGGUGGACCUCUUGGCUUAUACUUUGUGACGGUGUUUGCAGCUUUCAACUGAUAUUCUAUGCAUGUUCUAUUCUUGAUGGUAUCACUAGCAACUGGUUUUCUUUUUUUUUUUGGUUCAUGUUGAGUUUGGUUUUUGAUAUGAGCAUCAUUGUUUUGAGUUGUAUGGCUUUCUGUUUUGUAGUUUUGAAGAUGGUUUGCAGAGUUGGAAGGUAGAGUUGACUGUUGUGAUUUAGUUUAUUUGUAUUGAUUAAAAUUUUGGUGAGUGAAAAUAUGGAAAGUGGUUGCAGGAACCCUCUGUAUUAUGCUUAUCUCCUCUUUACUGCAGAGCUAAUAGUGAACUGAUGGGGUUGUGAUAUUUGAAUGAAAAUGUAUAUGGUUUGGGUAGUACUUGAAUGGAUAUUGAUGUGAUUAAGCAGAGUCUGCUUGUGUAUGAAAGUGGGUUGAAUUUGGAUGAUUGUGGCAGGUUGAGUCAUUAUUUGCAGAGGCUUUAUAGAUUAAACAUGGCAAGACAUGGUUGUAAGAGUAUUCAAGAAGAAGAAGUGAAAAUGGCUUGAAAAAUGAAGAAAUGAAGAGAAAUGGUUUGAAGAUGGAACGAGAAUGGGACCAAGAUUUGGCUGUAAAAAUGUUUAGAAUAAUUUUUGUAUUUAAAUGGUGUAAUUGUCUUUGAAUUUUGUAAUUGAUUUUUGUAAUAAAUUGUAUGGACAUGCAUUGUAAUGGAUUUGGAUGAACACUUGAAUGAAGUCUCUUUUUUUUUUUUUGUAA